rnacentral:piRNA from 1 species
UCAGUUGUCUUUCGGUGUUAU